rnacentral:rRNA from 1 species
UACGUAGGGCGCAAGCGUUAUCCGGAAUUAUUGGGCGUAAAGAGCUCGUAGGCGGUUUGUCGCGUCUGCCGUGAAAGUCCGGGCUCAACUCCGGAUCUGCGGUGGGUACGGGCAGACUAGAGUGAUGUAGGGGAGACUGGAAUUCCUGGUGUAGCGGUGAAAUGCGCAGAUAUCAGGAGGAACACCGAUGGCGAAGGCAGGUCUCUGGGCGAUUAACUGACGCUGAGGAGCGAAAGCAUGGGGAGCGAACAGG